AGACGAGGGGUCCAAGCGUUGUUCGGAAUUAUUGGGCGUAAAGCGGGUGUAGGUGGCUCUGUAAGUCAGAAGUGAAAUCCCCGAGCUUAACUUGGGAAGUGCUUUUGAAACUGCAGAGCUUGAAUGUGGGAGAGGAUCGUGGAAUUCCAGGUGUAGUGGUGAAAUACGUAGAUAUCUGGAGGAACACCGGUGGCGAAGGCGGCGAUCUGGCCCAACAUUGACACUGAGACCCGAAAGCGU
rnacentral:rRNA from 1 species